rnacentral:rRNA from 1 species
GACGAACGCUGGCGGCGUGCUUAACCCAUGCAAGUCGAACGGAAAGGCCCUGCUUUUGUGGGGUGCUCGUGUGGCGAACGGGUGUGUAACACGUGAGUAACCUGCCCUUUUCUUUGGGAUAUCUUCAGGAAACUGGGUCUAAUACCGGAUAGGAGCUCCUGCUGCAUGGUGGUGGUUGGUAAGUUUCGGCGGUUGGGGAUGGUCUCGCGGCUUAUCAGCUUGUUGGUGGGGUAGUGGCUUACCAAGGCUUUGACGGUUAGCCGGCCUGUGAGGGUGACCGGCGACAAGAGGAGUGAGAGAGGGAGCAGAGGGGAACGGGAGGCAGCAGUGGGGAAGAUGGCACAAUGGGAGGAAGGGUGAGGAAGCAACGCCGGGGGCGGGAAGACGGCGUGCGGGGAGAAAAAAGAAGUAGAAUGAGACGAAGCGAGAGUGACGGUAAGGGGAAAAGAAGCACCGGCUAACUACGUG